AUUGAAAAUGAAAAUGCGGGAGACAAGCCGUAUCCUGCUUAUAUAUUUAUAUGCCACUGCCUGGUUUUUAAAACUGUAGCAUAGUUACAAAAAAUAAUAAUUUUUCCUUUCCUUUAAAUUCUUUUCCCCUCCUCUCCUUGGGAUGGAAUCAGAGGAAUCUGAGCAAUCAGAGGAAUCGGGGGAGGUAGAGGGAAGGAGGAGGAAGAUGAAGACCAAGAGAGG